rnacentral:rRNA from 1 species
GGCAAAUCCGCAGAGCUUAGCUGAGGCGUGAUAACGAGGUGCCACGUGCACUGAAGUGAUUGAUCCCAUGCUUCCAGGAAAAGCCUCUAAGCUUCAGUUCCAUAUUGACCGUACUGCAAACCGACACAGGUGGGUAGGGUGAGAAUCCUAAGGCGCUUGAGAGAACUCAGGAGAAGGAACUCGGCAAAUUAACACCGUAACUUCGGGAGAAGGUGUGCCCUUGUAGGGUGAAGUCCCUUGCGGAUGGAGCUCGAAAGGGUUGCAGUGAAAAGGUGGCUGCGACUGUUUAUUAAAAACACAGCACUCUGCAAACACGAAAGUGGACGUAUAGGGUGUGACGCCUGCCCGGUGCUGGAAGAUUAAAUGAUGGGGUGCAAGCUCUUGACUGAAGUCCCAGUAAACGGCGGCCGUAACAAUAACGGUCCUAAGGUAGCGAAAUUCCUUGUCGGGUAAGUUCCGACCGCACGAAUGGCGUAACGAUGGCCACACUGUCUCCUCCUGAGACUCAGCGAAGUUGAAAUGUUUGUG